UACAGAGGUCCCGAGCGUUUAGGCGGAAUCACUGGGCUUAAAGCGUGUGUAGGCGGAUCUGUAAGUACCUUGUGAAAUCCCAUGGCUCAACCAUGGAACUGCUUGGUAUACUGCGGAUCUUUGAGCUAGCUAGGGGCAACCGGAACAGACGGUGGAGCGGUGAAAUGCGUAGAUAUCGUCUGGAACGCCAAUGGUGAAAAACAGGUUGCUGGGGGCUAUGCUGACGCUGAGACACGAAAGCCAGGGGGAGCAAACGGGG
rnacentral:rRNA from 1 species